GAUGAACGCUGGCGGCGUGCCUAAUACAUGCAAGUAGAACGCUGAAGGAGGAGCUUGCUCUUCUGGAUGAGUUGCGAACGGGUGAGUAACGCGUAGGUAACCUGCCUGGUAGCGGGGGAUAACUAUUGGAAACGAUAGCUAAUACCGCAUGACAACAGUUAUUGCAUGAUAACUGUUUAAAAGGGGCAACUGCUCCACUACCAGAUGGACCUGCGUUGUAUUAGCUAGUUGGUGAGGUAACGGCUCACCAAGGCGACGAUACAUAGCCGACCUGAGAGGGGGAUCGGCCACACUGGGACGGGAACACGGCCCCGACUCCUACGGGAGGCAGGAGUAGGGAAUCGUCGGCAAGGGAGGGAAGGUUGACCGAGCAACGCCGGGUGAGUGAAGAAGGUGUUCGGAUCGUAAAGCUCUGUUUUAAGGAAAAAACGGGUGUGGGGGGGGAAAGUUCACCCGUGGCAGGUAUUGUACAAAAAAGGGCCGGCAAACUACGU
rnacentral:rRNA from 1 species